rnacentral:rRNA from 1 species
AUGAACGCUGGCGGCGUGCCUAAUACAUGCAAGUCGAGCGAACAGACGAGGAGCUUGCUCCUCUGACGUUAGCGGCGGACGGGUGAGUAACACGUGGAUAGCCUACCUAUAAGACUGGGAUAACUUCGGGAAACCGGAGCUAAUACCGGAUAAUAUAUUGAACCGCAUGGUUCAAUAGUGAAAGACGGUUUUGCUGUCACUUAUAGAUGGAUCCGCGCCGCAUUAGCUAGUUGGUAAGGUAACGGCUUACCAAGGCAACGAUGCGUAGCCGACCUGAGAGGGUGAUCGGCCACACUGGAACUGAGACACGGUCCAGACUCCUACGGGAGGCAGCAGUAGGGAAUCUUCCGCAAUGGGCGAAAGCCUGACGGAGCAACGCCGCGUGAGUGAUGAAGGUCUUCGGAUCGUAAAACUCUGUUAUUAGGGAAGAACAAAUGUGUAAGUAACUAUGCACGUCUUGACGGUACCUAAUCAGAAAGCCACGGCUAACUACGUG